rnacentral:lncRNA from 1 species
AAACAUUGUUCAUCUCCAUCUCUUCCACCGAAAUCACCAUUUGAGAAAAGCUCUCAAAGGCUUCAAGCUUUUUGCUCUUAAUCAGGUAUUUCAAUCUAGUCAUUUCUUGUAAUUUCUAUGUUUUUAAGGUCUUAGGAGCUUGAUUUAGUUAACUCGUGUAACAAUUUAUAAAACUGUUAAAAUUUUCAAAAGUUUCCAUGUUGAAUACUUAAAGAGAUUGGUGUUAUUUUGUUAGAUUUUAAGCUUAGAAGUGAAAAAAACUAGUUUGUAAAGUUUAAUUGCUAGUUUUUUAACAUAAGGACUACAAUGUAAAUAUUUCAAAAUUGGUAUGAAAUUUAUGUAAUUAUGGACAUUAGAGAAACUUAUAAGGAUGUAAUUGUGAUAUGCCUCAAAAUCGAGGCUCAAAUUGGAAAGUUAUGGUAAUUUCGAUUUUAGGGACUAAAUUGAAUAAAAUACAAAACUUUAGAAAUCAUUCAAAAUGUGAAAUUGAACUUUCAUCUGCAUAUAAUAGGAUGUUAUAAGGUAUCUGAAAUUGAUAAAUUGAAAUGAACUAUCGUAUAGAUCGGGGUUUGAAUCAAUCAGAGGAUAAUCGAGAAAAAGGUAAAAUUGUAGCUUAGUCCUCGACGUCUUGUUUGUUGUUUCUUUUUCCAAGUAAAUUCAUAUGAAACUUUUUUUUGUGUUAUAUUUGAAUUAUAUUAUAAUGUCUAUUAGUUUAGGCUAAUUGUAAUUUGAUAAUGUUGGCAUCUAAAGGACGAAAUCAUAAAGUAUGGAAAAUAUGGUUAUUAUGAAUAGAUGCAAUGUAUUUAAUGAAUGUGAAAUUGUUAUAUGAUUGAAUGAUAUGUAUAUGAUGAUUUUACAAUAUUUGAAAUGAUACAGAAGCAAUAACAGUGCCCGUGUGAACUUAACGAACGAUUAAGAUACAAAUGGCAUGUCAUUAGGGUUCAAAAAAGAAAUAGAGCUUUUGAUAAGGUAUUUAUUUAAUGAUGGCUUGAGAUCCAACAUGUGCUGUGGAUUCUCUGAAGCUUGUGUGAGCAACAUCGAAUAUGUCAGCUUGUGUGAGCAACCCUAGUUUGAAGCUUGUCUGAGCAGCUCGAAUAUGUCA